rnacentral:lncRNA from 1 species
GGGUGUCUUUCUUUUGCAUUGGGACUUUUGUCCUCUUUCUUUCUUUUCUCUUUUUUUAGAGAUCAGCCAACCCUUUUAAUGCAAUGAUAAUCGAAGGGAGUAUCAACUGAAAUAACUGGAGCUUUAUUGGAUAAGUAGAAUAAGAUAUAAUGGAUAUUUUUGGGUAUUCCCUCCUAGUGUAGGAGUAGAACAUUUUCUAAGUGGAUGUGGAAUGUAUGUGGGUGGAUGAAGGAAUGCGUAGUCCUAGGGUAGGAGCAGCAUAAGUGCAUG